rnacentral:misc_RNA from 1 species
UUUCCGUAGGUGAACCUGCGGAAGGAUCAUUAUCGUACCAAAUGUGAGGGGCCUGCGAGGACUGUCGCUGACCUGAAAGCCGUGCACGCCCGACUGUGUCCUCUUGUAUAAUAAUCCAUCUCACCCUUUGUGCAUCACCGCGUGGGCACCCUUCGGGAUCAUCUCCGAGGGUGGCUCUCGUUAUCACACAAACCCCCCUUUAAAAAGUGUAGAAUGACCACAUUUAUGCAAUCAAUACAACUUUCAACAACGGAUCUCUUGGCUCUU